AGCUCCAAUAGCGUAUAUUAAAGUUGUUGCAGUUAAAAAGCUCGUAGUUGAACUUCAGACCUGGCUGGGCGGUCCGCUUAACGGCGUGUACUGUCUGGCUGGGCCUUACCUCUUGGUGAGCCGGCGUGCCCUUUAUUGGUGUGCGUCGGGGAACCAGGACUUUUACCUUGAGAAAAUUAGAGUGUUCAAAGCAGGCCUAUGCCCGAAUACAUUAGCAUGGAAUAAUAAAAUAGGACGUGCGGUUCUAUUUUGUUGGUUUCUAGAGUCGCCGUAAUGAUUAAUAGGGAUAGUUGGGGGCAUUGGUAUUGGGUCGCUAGAGGUGAAAUUCUUGGAUUGACUCAAGACCGACUAUUGCGAAAGCAUUUGCCAAGGAUGUUUUCA
rnacentral:rRNA from 1 species